rnacentral:rRNA from 1 species
GUAGUCUCGCACAGAUGCAUAUCAAUAAGCGGAGGAAAAGAAACUAACAAGGAUUCCCCUUAGUAACGGCGAGUGAAGCGGGAAGAGCUCAAAUUUGAAAUCUUCAAGGUUUUACCUUGACGAAUUGUAGUUUAAAGAAGUGUUUUCUGUUGAAGUUUUGGUAAAAGUUCUUUGGAAUAGGACAUCAUAGAGGGUGAAAGUCCCGUAUUUGACCAUUAUUUUCAGCUGUGUGAUACACUUUCAAAGAGUCGGAUUGUUUGGGAAUGCAGUCCAAAAUGGGUGGUAAAUUUCAUCUAAAGCUAAAUAUUGGCGAGAGACCGAUAGCGAACAAGUACCGUGAGGGAAAGAUGAAAAGAACUUUGAAAAGAGAGUUAAACAGUACGUGAAAUUGUCAAAAGGGAAGCGUUUGACACCAGUGUUGUUUUCUCGAAAAUCAAUUAAAAAGAGUUAGAUUUUGUUGUGUAUUGACCUUAACAGCUUGCAUUUCAAUUUUCUUGCUUUUUUUAAUGCACUUUUCGUUUAACAAGUCAACAUCAGUUUCUUUUGUUGUAAAAAGGUCAUUGGAAGGUGGCUUUCUUUUCGGAGAAAGUGUUUAUAGCCUUUGACUCCUGCAAUCGGAGAGACUGAGGUCUGCAGCGUAGAUCCUUCGGGGUUAGAUACAUUUGUGCUAAGUUAUAGCUUUUUAUAGACAACUUGUUGACUAUGAUUAGUCUUGUAGCUUACUCGCUUAUGCUAUUUUACCUACGCUUAGGAUGUUGAUGUGAUACUGCGAGCA